UGCUUAGAUAUCACACAGAACACCGAUUGCGAAGGCAGCACACUAAGUCAUUAUUGACGCUGAGGCACGAAAGUGUGGGGAUCAAACAGGAUUAGAUACCCUGGUAGUCCACACUGUAAACGAUGAUAACUCGCUGUCGGCGAUACACAGUCGGUGGCCAAGCGAAAGCAUUAAGUUAUCCACCUGGGGAGUACGACCGCAAGGUUGAAACUCAAAGGAAUUGACGGGGGCCCGCACAAGCGGAGGAACAUGUGGUUUAAUUCGAUGAUACGCGAGGAACCUUACCCGGGCUCGAACGGUGCAUGAAUAUACGAGAGAUUGUAUAGUCCUUCGGGACAUGUAUCGAGGUGCUGCAUGGUUGUCGUCAGCUCGUGCCGUGAGGUGUCGGCUUAAGUGCCAUAACGAGCGCAACCCUUGUCAUUAGUUGCCAUCAGGUCAAGCUGGGGACUUUAAUGAGACUGCCACCGUAAGGUGUGAGGAAGGGGGGGAUGACGUCAAAUCAGCACGGCCCUUAUGUCCGGGGCGACACACGUGUUACAAUGGGAGGUACAGAGGGCAGCUAUCCGGUGACGGAAUGCUAAUCUCCAAAACCUUUCUCAGUUCGGAUUGGAGUCUGCAACUCGACUCCAUGAAGGUGGAUUCGCUAGUAAUCGCGCAUCAGCCAUGGCGCGGUGAAUACGUUCCCGGGCCUUGUACACACCGCCCGUCAAGCCAUGGAAGCUUGGGGUGCCUGAAGUUCGUGACCGCAAGGAGCGACCUAAGGCAAAACAGGUAACUGGGGCUAAGUCGUAACAAGGUAACCGUA
rnacentral:rRNA from 1 species